CAGGAUGAACGGCUGGCGGCGUGCUUAACACAUGCAAGUCGAACGGGAAUUACUUUAUUGAAACUUCGGUCGAUUUAAUUUAAUUCUAGUGGCGGACGGGUGAGUAACGCGUGGGUAACCUGCCUUAUACAGGGGGAUAACAGUCAGAAAUGGCUGCUAAUACCGCAUAAGCGCACAGAGCUGCAUGGCUCAGUGUGAAAAACUCCGGUGGUAUAAGAUGGACCCGCGUUGGAUUAGCUUGUUGGUGGGGUAACGGCCCACCAAGGCGACGAUCCAUAGCCGGCCUGAGAGGGUGAACGGCCACAUUGGGACUGAGACACGGCCCAGACUCCUACGGGAGGCAGCAGUGGGGAAUAUUGCACAAUGGGGGAAACCCUGAUGCAGCGACGCCGCGUGAAGGAAGAAGUAUCUCGGUAUGUAAACUUCUAUCAGCAGGGAAGAUAGUGACGGUACCUGACUAAGAAGCCCCGGCUAACUACGUGCCAGCAGCCGCGGUAAUACGUAGGGGGCAAGCGUUAUCCGGAUUUACUGGGUGUAAAGGGAGCGUAGACGGUGUGGCAAGUCUGAUGUGAAAGGCAUGGGCUCAACCUGUGGACUGCAUUGGAAACUGUCAUACUUGAGUGCCGGAGGGGUAAGCGGAAUUCCUAGUGUAGCGGUGAAAUGCGUAGAUAUUAGGAGGAACACCAGUGGCGAAGGCGGCUUACUG
rnacentral:rRNA from 1 species